UUUAUUAAUAAUUUUCCGUGGUAUAUACUAUACCUAUAUCCCUCAACCGUCACAGCCGUUACGCCACAGUGCGCCUGUGGCCGUCUACACAACGAUAUUAUUGUCCGUUGUUGAAUUCGCCACCAAAAAUCCCGAGAAGACACCAUAGACCGUAAUAUACACGUACACGAAUACGCGAUAAUAUUUUUAGGUAUAUUAUUUUUUUAAUAAUUAAAAAAAUAGCGAUGCAAAAUAAAAGUGACGUUGCGCAAUCCGGUUGCCGUGCGUGCAGCGCCGCCGCAGUAUAACCUUGUACUUGACUCGACGUUACACUACUACUGUUACUGUACCAUAUACCUACGGAACUACAACAUCAUUACUACUACUUUUACCACUACUACCACUGAUAUCACUAUAGCCGCGGUUACUACCGCCGCCGCCGUCGUCGUGUGUGUGUGCGUGUUGGCGCGCUCGUGAUAUAAUCAUAACCGCUGGCAGCGGUCUCGCAGCGGUUUUCUGGUUAAUUUUCGCGGAGACGCGUCCGCCGCCACCGUCGUCGUCGUCGCGCGAGUGAAAAAGUGAACAGUUCGCGGGAAUUAAAUAAAUAAAAAACCGAAACCGAAACCGCUCGUCCGGGUCUCGUAGAUCGCGUAGGUGAGACUAGCCGCAGACGACCGACGACCGUUGUCGUGGCCGCACUUGGCCGCGGACCACUGCCGCGACAUCAUGUUGGACGUGGUGCGAACGUGUUUCACGUGCACGUCACGGAAAAAACGCUGUCAGUCAGUCGUUCACUGUUCGUAAAUUAGUAUAGGUACUUGUCUGCAAUAUCGGAGUUGAGGACGUUUUAUUGUUCAUAGAAUAAUUAACAAUGGUGCUCGACGCAAGAAAUGAAAAAUGCUCAUUCGCAGAUCAAAUAAAUCUUCACUUAUCACCAGUUGUAGAUUCUAUUGGUAAAUAUUUUCUUGAUUUGGAAAAUCGCCAAGUAAAUGCUUGGGUACUAGGACUUUUUUCAGUGGAAGAAGCAGUAUUUCCAGUUAUUGAAAUUGAAGCCAAAGUACAAUUUCUUGGACUUCGCGAAGACAACACACAAAAAAUAGAUUUUGGAAACACAUAACUAGCAACAUUUUGGCGAAAAAUUGGUGCGUGAUAGUGGAUUUCCAUUACCAUGACUAGAGCAAGAAAUCGAUCGAACUUGGAACACGGCAUAAUAAGAUGUUCAUUGACUGAAACUGAACCGAAUAUUAAACAAAUCGUUAGAAUUAAACAAAUCAGCCGGAUUAUUAGCUGAUAUUAUGUUAAAUUAUUGAUUCUAAAACAACUUUUUUAUUUAAGUUUUUUUUCAUGUUUAAAACAAAUAAAAAAUAUUAUUUUUUU